CCUACGGGAGGCAGCAGUGGGGAAUAUUGCGCAAUGGGCGAAAGCCUGACGCAGCGACGCCGCGUGAGUGAUGAAGGUCUUCGGAUCGUAAACCUCUGUCAGCAGGGAAGAACGGGCACUGUGCUAAUCAGCAGUGAAUUGACGGUACCUGCAAAGGAAGCACCGGCUAACUCCGUGCCCGCAGCCGCGGUAAUUAGGAGGGUACGAGCGUUAAUCGGAAUUCCUGGGCGUAAAGCGCUCGUAGGCGGUAUGUUAAGUCAAGGGUGAAAUCCCCGCGCUUAACGUGGGAACUGCCUUUGAAACUGGCAAACUGGAGUGUGUGAGAGGAUAGUGGAAUUCCAGGUGUAGGAGUGAAAUCCGUAGAUAUCUGGAGGAACAUCAGUGGCGAAGGCGACUAUCUGGCACAUAACUGACGCUGAGGAGCGAAAGCGUGGGUAGCAAACAGGAUUAGAUACCCGAGUAGUC
rnacentral:rRNA from 1 species